GAGAUGUUUGAUCAUGGCUCAGAUUGAACACGCUGGCGGCAGGCCUAAACACAUGCAAGUCGAGCGGAUGACGGGAGCUUGCUCCUGGAUUCCCCCCAGCGGCGGACGGGUGAGUAAUGCCUAGGAAUGCUGGUAGUGGGGGACAACGUUUCGAAAGGAACGCUAAUACCGCAUACGUCCUACGGAGAAAGCAGGGGACCUUCGGGCCUUGCGCUAUCAGAUGAGCUAGGUCGGAUUAGCUUGUUGGUGAGGUAAUGGCUCACCAAGGCGACGAUCGUAACUGGUCUGAGAGGAUGAUCAGUCACACUGGAACUGAGACACGGUCCAGACUCCUACGGGAGGCAGCAGUGGGAAUAUUGGACAAUGGGCGAAAGCCUGAUCCAGCCAUGCCGCGUGUGUGAAGAAGGUCUUCGGAUGUAAAGCACUUUAAGUUGGGAGGAAGGGUUGUAGAUUAAUACUCUGCAAUUUUGACGUUACCGACAGAAUAAACGGCCUAACUCUGUGCCAGCAGCCGCGGUAAUACAGAGGGUGCAAGCGUUAAUCGGAAUUACUGGCGUAAAGCGCGCGUAGGUGGUUUGUUAAGUUGGAUGUGAAAGCCCGGGCUCACCUGGGGAACUGCAUCCAAAACUGGCAAGCUAGAGUACGGUAGAGGGUGGGGGGUGGAAUUUCCUGUGUAGCGGUGAAAUGCGUAGAUAUAGGAAGGAACACCAGUGGCGAAGGCGACCACCUGGACUGAUACUGACCUGAGGUGCGAAAGCGUGGGGAGCAAAACAGGAUUAGAUACCCUGGUAGUCCACGCCGUAAACGAUGUCAACUAGCCGUUGGAAUCCUUGAGAUUUAGUGGCGCAGCUAACGCAUUAAGUUGACCGCCUGGGAGUACGGCCGCAAGGUUAAAACUCAAAUGAAUUGACGGGGGCCCGCACAAGCGGUGGAGCAUGUGGUUUAAUUCGAAGCAACGCGAAGAACCUUACCAGGCCUUGACAUGCAGAGAACUUUCCAGAGAUGGAUAGGUGCCUUCGGGAACUCUGACACAGGUGCUGCAUGGCUGUCGUCAGCUCGUGUCGUGAGAUGUUGGGUUAAGUCCCGUAACGAGCGCAACCUUGUCCUUAGUUACCAGCACGUUAUGGUGGGCACUCUAAGGAGACUGCCGGUGACAAAACGGAGGAAGGUGGGGAUGACGUCAAGUCAUCAUGGCCCUUACGGCUGGGCUACACACGUGCUACAAUGGUCGGUACAGAGGGUUGCCAAGCCGCGAGGUGGAGCUAAUCUCACAAAACGAUCGUAGUCCGGAUCGCAGUCUGCAACUCGACUGCGUGAAGUCGGAAUCGCUAGUAAUCGCGAAUCAGAAUGUCGCGGUGAAUACGUUCCCGGGCCUUGUACACACCGCCCGUCACACCAUGGGAGUGGGUUGCACCAGAAGUAGCUAGUCUAACCUUCGGGGGGACGGUUACACGGUGUGAUUCAUGACUGGGGUGAAGUCGUAACAAGGUAGCCGUAGGGGAACCUGCGGCUGAUCACCUCCUUAA
rnacentral:rRNA from 1 species